CGUGCUGUCAACGUGGGUUAGAAAUGGGGAGGAGACGAUGGUGGAUGUAAAAUGCUUUAAUUUCCAGCUGUUUGCCUCAGAAUCUAGCUGAGUAGCUUGGAUGCAUAGAAGGUCACACGAAGGGGACGUUCACCUGCUUGCUUGCAAUGCCUCUUCCUUUAGGUUGAUCUUCCUCUCUGGUGUCCCCCACACGGCCUUGCAUGGGCCACGGGACAAUUCAUGUGCUUGGAAGAUUUCCCUGGUGGCCAUUGGAGAGACGCGGGCGUCCUACAGCCUUGCCUCUGAGUGCCAGGACCGUGCUGACGCAGGGACAGCAGAGCAGGCCCUGACCUAAGGAGCUCCCCGUCUCUGGGGAGGCAGCGCCACAGGAUUACAUCAAGUUGACCAUGGUAAUGUUGGAGAUGGCAAAGUGUUUGACUAACGAGAACUGAGCUGGAUGAAAAUACCUGAAAACAAGGCAAAAUCAGCCAGGGUGGUGAUGAGAUCUGCUUUCUCUUUUCUUACAUCAGUGAGCUGGGGCGGUAUCGUGCAUGGUGGUGAUGAUGACAGGUUUAUUAGUAGGGGCCAGACCAAGUGUGAAAUCGUUCACACCACUGCUCUGUUUCCAGGAGCCACGGUGAGAAGACAGUAAGUACACUUUAAAAUAUUUAGUUAGGGGCCCCUGGCCGGCUCAGUCGGUGGAGUGUGGGACCCUUGAUCUUGGGGUUGUGCAUUCGAGCCCUGCGUUGGAUGUAGAGAUUACUUUAUUUUUAAGUAAUAUUGACACCUGUAAGAUCACUUAGAGAAUAGAAAGAAUAAAACGAAAAUCACCUAAUAAUUCCACCUUCCCUCGGGCACCUGGGUGGCUCCAGUUGGUUGAGCAUCCGACUUCGGCUCAGAUCAUGAUCUUGCGGUUCGUGAGUUUGAGUCCUGCAUCAGGCUAUGUGCUGACAGCUCGGAGCCUGGAGCCUACUUUGGAUUCUGUGUCUCCCUCUCUCUCUGCCCCUCCCAGCUCGUUCUCUG